ACUCAAAUGAAUAGACGGGGGCCCGCACAAGCGGCGGAGCAUGUUGCUUAAUUCGAGGCAACGCGAAGAACCUUACCUGGAUUGAACUACGCAGGAAAAGCCACAGAGAUGUGGUGUCCUUCGGGGCCUGUGAUAGGUGGUGCAUGGCUGUCGUCAGCUCGUGUCGUGAGAUGUUGGGUUAAGUCCCGCAACGAGCGCAACCCUUAUCGUAUGUUGCCAGCGCGUAAUGGCGGGGACUCGUACGAGACUGCCGGGGUCAACUCGGAGGAAGGUGGGGACGACGUCAAGUCAUCAUGCCCCUUAUGUCCAGGGCUGCAAACAUGCUACAAUGGCCGGUACAAAGGGCUGCUAUACCGCGAGGUUGAGCGAAUCCCAUAAAGCCGGUCUCAGUUCGGAUUGGAGUCUGCAACUCGACUCCAUGAAGCUGGAGUCGCUAGUAAUCCCGGAUCAGCAACGCCGGGGUGAAUACGUUCCCGGGCCUUGCACACACCGCCCGU
rnacentral:rRNA from 1 species